AGUUUGAUCCUGGCUCAGAUUGAACGCUGGCGGCAGGCUCUAACACAUGCAAGUUUUUUUUGUAACACAGAGCGCUUUGCUCUCGGGUGACGAGUCUUCGGAACGGGUGAGUAAUGUCUGGGAAACUGCCUGAUGGAGGGGGAUAACUACUGGAAACGGUAGCUAAUACCGCAUAACGUCGCAAGACCAAAGUGGGGGACCUUCGGGCCUCAUGCCAUCAGAUGUGCCCAGAUGGGGAUUAGCUAGUAGGUGGGGUAAUGGCUCACCUAGGCGACGAUCCCUAGCUGGUCUGAGAGGGAUGACCAGCCACACUGGAACUGAGACACGGUCCAGACUCCUACGGGAGGCAGCAGUGGGGGAAUAUUGCACAAUGGGCGCAAGCCUGAUGCAGCCAUGCCGCGUGUAUGAAGAAGGCCUUCGGGUUGUAAAGUACUUUCAGCGAGGAGGAAGGCGUUAAGGUUAAUAACCUUGGCGAUUGACGUUACUCGCAGAAGAAGCACCGGCUAACUCCCGUGCCAGCAGCCGCGGUAAUACGGAGGGUGCAAGCGUUAAUNCGGAAUUACUGGGCGUAAAGCGCACGCAGGCGGUCUGUCAAGUCGGGAUGUGAAAUUCCCCGGGGCUUCAACCUGGGAACUGCAUUCGAAACUGGCAGGCUAGAGUCUUGUAGAGGGGGGUAAGAAUUCCCAGGUGUAGCGGUGAAAAUGCGUAGAGAUACUGGAGGAAUACCGGUGGCGAAGGCGGCCCCCUGGACAAAGACUGACGCUCAGGUGCGAAAGCGUGGGGAGCAAACAGGAUUUAGAUACCCUGGUAGUCCACGCCGUAAACGGAUAGCCGACUUGGAGGUUGUGCCCUUGAGGUUUUUAAGGCUUCCGGCGCUUUAACGCGUUAAGUCGACCGCCUGGGUUAAAAGAGUACGGCCCCGCAAGGUUAAAACUCAAAUGAAUUGACGGGGGCCCGCACAAGCGGUGGAGCAUGUGGUUUAAUUCGAUGCAACGCGAAGAACCUUACCUACUCUUGACAUCCAGAGAACUUAGCAGAGAUGCUUUGGUGCCUUCGGGAACUCUGAGACAGGUGCUGCAUGGCUGUCGUCAGCUCGUGUUGUGAAAUGUUGGGUUAAGUCCCGCAACGAGCGCAACCCUUAUCCUUUGUUGCCAGCGAUUAGGUCGGGAACUCAAAGGAGAUUGUUUUUGAUAAACUGGAGGAAGGUGGGGAUGACGUCUAGUCAUCAUGGCCCUUACGAGUAGGGCUACACACGUGCUACAAUGGCAUAUACAAAGAGAAGCGACCUCGCGAGAGCAAGCGGACCUCAUAAAGUAUGUCGUAGUCCGGAUUGGAGUCUGCAACUCGACUCCAUGAAGUCGGAAUCGCUAGUAAUCGUAGUCAGAAUGCUACGGUGAAUACGUUCCCGGGCCUUGUACACACCGGCCCGUCAC
rnacentral:rRNA from 1 species